GCCUGGCUAGCUCAAUCGGUAGAGCGUGAGACUCUUAUCCAAAGGUCAUCUCAAGGCUGUGGGUUCAAGCCCCACGUCGGGCU
rnacentral:tRNA from 2 species